GACGAACGCUGGCGGCGUGCCUAAUACAUGCAAGUCGAGCGAAGUUUUUCUGGUGCUUGCACUAGAAAAACUUAGCGGCGAACGGGUGAGUAACACGUAAAGAACCUGCCUCAUAGACUGGGACAACUAUUGGAAACGAUAGCUAAUACCGGAUAACAGUAUUUCUCGCAUGAGAGAUAUUUAAAAGUUGGUUAUGCUAACACUAUGAGAUGGCUUUGCGGUGCAUUAGCUAGUUGGUGGGGUAAAGGCCCACCAAGGCGACGAUGCAUAGCCGACCUGAGAGGGUGAUCGGCCACACUGGGACUGAGCCACGGCCCAGACUCCUACGGGAGGCAGCAGUAGGGAAUCUUCCGCAAUGGGCGAAAGCCUGACGGAGCAACGCCGCGUGAGUGAAGAAGGAUUUCGGUUCGUAAAGCUCUGUUGUUAGGGAAGAAUGGAUAUGUAGUAACUAUACAUGUAAGAGACGGUACCUAACCAGAAAGCCACGGCUAACUACGUG
rnacentral:rRNA from 1 species